UACGUAGGGUCCGAGCGUUGUCCGGAAUUACUGGGCGUAAAGAGCUCGUAGGUGGUUUGUCGCGUUGUUCGUGAAAAACUCACAGCUUAACUGUGGGCGUGCGGGCGAUACGGGCAGACUUGAGUACUGCAGGGGAGACUGGAAUUCCUGGUGUAGCGGUGGAAUGCGCAGAUAUCAGGAGGAACACCGGUGGCGAAGGCGGGUCUCUGGGCAGUAACUGACGCUGAGGAGCGAAAGCGUGGGGAGCAAACAGG
rnacentral:rRNA from 1 species